rnacentral:rRNA from 1 species
UACAGAGGGUGCAAGCGUUGUUCGGAAUUAUUGGGCGUAAAGCGCACGUAGGCGGAUUGUUAAGUCGGGGGUGAAAUCCUGGAGCUCAACUCCAGAACUGCCUUCGAAACUGGCGAUCUUGAGUCCGGGAGAGGUGAGUGGAACUGCGAGUGUAGAGGUGAAAUUCGUAGAUAUUCGCAAGAACACCAGUGGCGAAGGCGGCUCACUGGCCCGGUACUGACGCUGAGGUGCGAAAGCGUGGGGAGCAAACAGG